rnacentral:rRNA from 1 species
UACGAAGGGGGCUAGCGUUGCUCGGAAUCACUGGGCGUAAAGCGCACGUAGGCGGAUCGAUCAGUCAGGGGUGAAAUCCCAGAGCUCAACUCUGGAACUGCCUUUGAUACUGUCGAUCUAGAGUAUGGAAGAGGUGGGUGGAAUUCCGAGUGUAGAGGUGAAAUUCGUAGAUAUUUCGGAGGAACACCAGUGGCGAAGGCUGGCUCACUGGUCCGAUACUGACGCUGAGGUGCGAAAGCGUGGGGAGCAAAGCAGG